AGUGAACGCUGGCGGUAGGCCUAACACAUGCAAGUCGAACGGCAGCACAGUAAGAGCUUGCUCUUACGGGUGGCGAGUGGCGGACGGGUGAGGAAUACAUCGGAAUCUACUUUUUCGUGGGGGAUAACGUAGGGAAACUUACGCUAAUACCGCAUACGACCUACGGGUGAAAGCAGGGGAUCUUCGGACCUUGCGCGAUUGAAUGAGCCGAUGUCGGAUUAGCUAGUUGGCGGGGUAAGGGCCCACCAAGGCGACGAUCCGUAGCUGGUCUGAGAGGAUGAUCAGCCACACUGGAACUGAGACACGGUCCAGACUCCUACGGGAGGCAGCAGUGGGGAAUAUUGGACAAUGGGCGCAAGCCUGAUACAGCCAUACCGCGUGGGUGAAGAAGGCCUUCGGGUUGUAAAGCCCUUUUGUUGGGAAAGAAAAGCAGCAGGUUAAUACCCCGCUGUUCUGACGGUACCCAAAGAAUAAGCACCGGCUAACUUCGUG
rnacentral:rRNA from 1 species